CUUAGACCCCAUUUAAAGGCUGACUGCCACUAGAGAAGGGUUUCUUUCUGGAGGUCCCUCCUUGGUGAAGUUUUCCCUUUGAACCUGGAAUCUUAUGAUAUGGGUGAGGUUCAAAUCACAGGACAAGAAGAGCAUGCUCCAAAAAUAAAAGCAGACUUUGGCUUAUGCUGUCCAGCGAAUUGCCAUAUGAAAGCAGGAGGAUUUCGGGCUCUGUGUACUUUGGAAGCACUGCAAGAGAGAGAGGAGAAAUUCUGGAUGGAGGCCCAAUGUAUGGCAACAGAGCAGGAGAUGGAAGUGAUAAGAGGAAUACAUGCGGUGGGUCCCUACUGGGAGAAGAAGUUGUAGCUGAUUUUGUGCAUGUAAAAGAGUGCAGGCUUACGUGGCUCUGGCUUUCCAGAGGGCACCUGCCUGCAGUGUCGGCAGUUCUUCCUGCACUUGAACCUGAACACAGGCUUUACAUUGGAAUGGCUGUGAGAUUUCUCCUUCCUUCCUGCUAAUCUGUGUCUGCUAUUUCUGUGGAAAUGAAAGUACCUGAAACAAACCAAACGUUGGCCCCUACCCUGACAAAAUCAAAUUACUGUAAUGAAAUAGAAUUUUACAUCAUGAAUCACUAGCACCUAUCAGACCAUAACAUUGCAGCAGGCUGCUAAUGAGGCACUGCUGUUCAUCACCUGGUGUAAGUAUGCAGCUUCUUCAGUUAGAGAUUACUUCUAGAGAUGCCACUGUGAUCUCAGAAGCCCUUCAAGGAGCACCACCAUACAUAGGGGUCAAUUCACAAACAGGCAAAACAAAGCUGGGCUGUUUGCAUGCUGCAGUAACAUGUCCACAGUGCUCCUCUGUGUUCAUAGAGAGUACAACAUGGGGCACAACUGGAAGCUGUGUUUAUGAGAG
rnacentral:lncRNA from 1 species